CCUACGGGAGGCAGCAGUGGGGGAUAUUGCACAAUGGGGGGAACCCUGAUGCAGCGACGCCGCGUGGGUGAAGAAGCGCCUCGGCGCGUAAAGCCCUGUCAGCAGGGAAGAAAAUGACGGUACCUGAAGAAGAAGCCCCGGCUAACUACGGUCCAGGCGCCGCGGUUAUACGUAGGGGGCAAGCGUUAUCCGGAUUUACUGGGUGUAAAGGGGGCGGAGACGGCGAUGCAAGCCAGGAGUGAAAGCCCGGGGCCCAACCCCGGGACUGCUCUUGGAACUGCGUGGCUGGAGUGCAGGAGGGGCAGGCGGAAUUCCUGGUGUAGCGGUGAAAUGCGUAGAUAUCAGGAGGAACACCGGUGGCGAAGGCGGCCUGCUGGACUGCGACUGACGUUGAGGCCCGAAAGCGUGGGGAGCAAACAGGAUUAGAUACCCGUGUAGUC
rnacentral:rRNA from 1 species